rnacentral:misc_RNA from 1 species
GAUGAAGAACGCAGCGAAAUGCGAUAAGUAAUGUGAAUUGCAGAAUUCAGUGAAUCAUCGAAUCUUUGAACGCACAUUGCGCCCGCCAGUAUUCUGGCGGGCAUGCCUGUCCGAGCGUCAUUUCAACCAUCAAGCCCCGGGCUUGUGUUGGGGACCCGCGUCCGACGCAGGCCCUGAAAACCAGUGGCGGGCUCGCUGUCCACACCGAGCGUAGUAACUAACCUCGCUAUGGAGUGGCGCGGGCGCCUGCCGUAAAACCCCCAAUUUUUACAAGGUUGACCUCGGAUCAGGUAGGAAUACCCGCUGAACUUAAGCAUAUCAAUAAGCGGAGGA